AACGAACGCUGGCGGCAUGCCUAACACAUGCAAGUCGAACGAGACCUUCGGGUCUAGUGGCUCACGGGUGCGUAACGCGUGGGAACCUGCCCUUAGGUUCGGAAUAACUCCCCGAAAGGGGUGCUAAUACCGGAUAAUGUCUUCGGACCAAAGAUUUAUCGCCUUUGGAUGGGCCCGCGUUGGAUUAGCUAGUUGGUAGGGUAAAAGCCUACCAAGGCGACGAUCCAUAGCUGGUCUGAGAGGAUGAUCAGCCACACUGGGACUGAGACACGGCCCAGACUCCUACGGGAGGCAGCAGUGGGGAAUAUUGGACAAGGGGCGAAAGCCUGAUCCAGCAAUGCCGCGUGAGUGAUGAAGGCCUUAGGGUUGUAAAGCUCUUUUACCCGGGAUGAUAAUGACAGUACCGGGAGAAUAAGCUCCGGCUAACUCCGUG
rnacentral:rRNA from 1 species